rnacentral:rRNA from 1 species
UACGUAGGGUGCAAGCGUUGUUCGGAAUUAUUGGGCGUAAAGGGAGCGUAGGCGGUUCGGCAAGUCUUUAGUGAAAUCUCUGGGCUCAACUCAGAGUCUGCUGGAGAAACUGCCGGGCUGGAGUAUGGGAGAGGUGAGUGGAAUUCCGGGUGUAGCGGUGGAAUGCGUAGAGAUCCGGAAGAACACCGGUAGCGAAGGCGGUGAGCUGGGCAGUAGCUGACACUGAGGCGCGACAGCGUGGGGAGCAAACAGG